AGGUCCUAGGAAUUAAUUCGCAUCCUUGGCAGGACAGCGCCGCAGGUUCCUGGCAGGACAACGCCCCCUGGCGGUUGCACGGCAUGUCCUUGACAGGACUGCAGCCCAUGCCGUUCGUUCGGCGUCUAGAAGGGCCUGUAGAAGUCGGACGUCGGUUGUCCAAACCGACAGGGAGUCGGUGAUGUCCCACCCGACAGGAAGUCGGUGAUGUAGGAUCGGCUUUUCAGGUG
rnacentral:lncRNA from 1 species